rnacentral:rRNA from 1 species
UACGGAGGGUGCAACCGUUGCUCGGAAUCAUUGGGCGUAAAGCGCACGUAGGCGGCCUGAUAAGUCGGGUGUGAAAGCCCUGGGCUCAACCCAGGAAGUGCACUCGAAACUGUCAGGUUUGAAUAUGGAAGAGGGUCGCGGAAUUCCCGGUGUAGAGGUGAAAUUCGUAGAUAUCGGGAGGAACACCAGUGGCGAAGGCGGCGACCUGGGCCAAUAUUGACGCUGAGGUGCGAAAGCGUGGGGAGCAAACAGG